rnacentral:lncRNA from 1 species
ACAUCUCCAUAUUUCGGCGCCCAACCUAUAUGCCCCAAGGUCCUUAACCGUUAAGAUAACCUUGUUAAGCAAACCAACCCUUAUACGUGUAAGUGUCCGACACAAACCCGUCUAGUCAAGGAAAACUAGUGGUACCCUAAUUUCAUAGACCCACCACUAAUUGUACAAGACAUGGGACGGUGCAAGUUUUAGUUGGGAGGGCAUACUAACUUAAACUUUGUGAGGGAUCGUUCUACU